rnacentral:rRNA from 1 species
AGAUUGAACGCUGGCGGCAUGCCUUACACAUGCAAGUCGAACGGCAGCACGGGGGCAACCCUGGUGGCGAGUGGCGAACGGGUGAGUAAUGCAUCGGAACGUGCCCAGUAGUGGGGGAUAACUAGUCGAAAGAUUAGCUAAUACCGCAUACGACCUAUGGGUGAAAGCGGGGGAUUCGCAAGAACCUCGCGCUAUCGGAGCGGCCGAUGUCUGAUUAGCUAGUUGGCGGGUAAAAGCCCACCAAGGCUUCGAUCAGUAGCUGGUCCGAGAGGACGACCAGCCACACUGGGACUGAGACACGGCCCAGACUCCUACGGCGGGACG